UCCCAGCUGUGAGCUCAGAGGCAGAGCCCUGGGGCAUCUCCACCAUGGCCAUGACCUCCCUCCUGCUCCGCCUUCUCAUCCUCUGCACAGGCUCUGUGAUCUCUUCGGAGCUGAUUCAACCACUUGAGGUCUCUGUGGCCUUGGGUCAGACAGCCAGGAUCUCCUGCCAAGGAGACAGCUUUGAAAGUGAUUAUGCUCACUGGUACCAGCAGAAGCCAGGCCAAGCCCCUGUGCUGCUCAUCUAUCAGGAAAGCAACCUGGCCUCAGGGAUCCCUGACCGGUUCUCUGGCUCCAGCUCAGGGGACACAGCCACCCUGACCAUCAGUGGGGCCCAGGCUGAGGACGAGGCUGACUACUACUGUCAGGUGUGGGACAGCAGUGAUACUCAGCACACAGUGAUACAGGCAGACGUGGAAGUGACAUACAAACCCCUUCUGCAUCUAUGUCACAUGCUCUUCCAGUCCCAGGAGGACGUAGACAGAACGAGGAGCAGGUGGCCCAGGGCCCCAGAUCUGAGACCCCUCAGGCAUCCCUCUUCUCCUAGCCCUCCAUGCAGGCUGUAUAGAGAGUGGAGUCAGGUUGGAUAUCGGGGGUUGGGGGGGCGGGCAGGACGAGGCUGUGCUGUUGUCAGAGCCAUGUGAGUUGGGGAAAGAGGCUCUGUUUGGAAGGACAGAUAGAGAGAGACAUGCACCCAGUGGUAGUCGACCCUGGAUCUCCAUGUGGUGGAGACUGGGGUCUCUACCUGCCCAGCUGUUCUGGGUUAAUCCCCCAAAUCCCAGCUCAUUUAACCUCCUGAAGCCCCAGGAUCUCAUGGCAGCCUGCAAGUCUGAGUGGAGCAAAGGACUGCAGUGGAUGUGCUGGGGUCCAUUCCACUUCCCUCAGGGCUGACCCCCUCAUCCCCUACUGGGAGCCCCUGGCAGCUCGCUGAGCUGAGCCCAAAGCUGGGGCUGGCCUUGCAAAGGCUCCCUCCCCAUGACUGUGCCCUCUCCGAGCGGGCUUCUGCCCAACAACUGUCUGGGGCUGAGAUCCCAAGUCCCUUACUCACUCCAGGGUGACCUCGUGGGGCUCCCAGCUGAGUCCCCAAUUGUUACCACAUUGCAGGUUGGCCAAGUCUUGUCUCUCUGACAAAGGAGAUAAUAUGAAAUCACAAGGACAUACUCAGUUAAUUUGAAAAAGACAGAAAAAGGGAAAGAGGAAUAAUGAACAGAUGGGACAAAUAGAAAAUACAUUGAUGACAAUGGUAUAUUUCAACAGGACC